GAAAUAUGUAUAAUCAAAUAAUAGCUGCUAACUAAUUAUUUUAACGAAUAAAACCGUUUAUAUUUCU
rnacentral:tRNA from 1 species